rnacentral:rRNA from 1 species
AACGAACGCUGGCGGCAGGCUUAACACAUGCAAGUCGAGCGCCCCGCAAGGGGAGCGGCAGACGGGUGAGUAACGCGUGGGAAUCUACCCAUCUCUACGGAAUAACGCAUGGAAACGUGUGCUAAUACCGUAUACGUCCUUCGGGAGAAAGAUUUAUCGGAGAUGGAUGAGACCGCGUUGGAUUAGCUAGUUGGUGGGGUAAAGGCCUACCAAGGCGACGAUCCAUAGCUGGUCUGAGAGGAUGAUCAGCCACACUGGGACUGAGACACGGCCCAGACUCCUACGGGAGGCAGCAGUGUGGAAAAUUGGACAAUGGGCGCAAGCCUGAUCCGGCCAUGCCGCGUGGGUGAUGAAGGCCCUAGGGUUGUAAAGCUCUUUCACCGGUGAAGAUAAUGACGGUAACCGGAGAAGAAGCCCCGGCUAACUUCGUGCCAGCAGCCGCCGUAACAC